AUUGAACGCUGGCUGCAGGCUUAACACAUGCAAGUCGAGCGAGCGGCGGACGGGUGAGUAAUGUCUGGGAAACUGCCUGCUGGAGGGGGAUAACUACUGGAAACGGUAGCUAAUACCGCAUACCAUCAGAUGUGCCCAGAUGGGAUUAGCUAGUAGGUGGGGUACUGGCUCACCUAGGCGACGAUCCCUAGCUGGUCUGAGAGGCUGCCCAGCCCCACUGUAACUGAGCCACGGUCCAGACUCCUACGGUGGGCAGCAGUGGGGACUAUGGCACAAUGGGCGCAGGCCUGAUGCAGCCAUGCCGCGUGUGUGAAGAAGGCCUUCGGGUUGUAAAGCACUUUCAGCGAGGAGGCGUUACUCGCAGAAGAAGCACCGGCGAGCUCCGUGCCAGCAGCCGCGGUAAUUC
rnacentral:rRNA from 1 species